rnacentral:rRNA from 1 species
ACGGGGGAUUAGGGUUCGAUUCCGGAGAGGGAGCCUGAGAAACGGCUACCACAUCUAAGGAAGGCAGCAGGCGCGCAAAUUACCCAAUUCUAACAGCAUAAGAGAGGUAGUGACAAGAAAUAACAAUACAAGGCAGUUAAAAUGCUUUGUAAUUGGAAUGAUAGAAAUUUAAACACUUUUUAAAGUAUCAAUUGGAGGGCAAGUCUGGUGCCAGCAGCCGCGGUAAUUCCAGCUCCAAUAGCGUAUAUUAAAAUUGUUGCAGUUAAAAAGCUCGUAGUUGAAUUUCUGUUAAAAAUAACCGGUCUGCUUUUAACAAAAGUGGUAUCUUGGUGUGUUUUUAGCAAUAAUGUCCGUUGAAAUGUGUUUUACUUUGUUGUAAAAAACAAUAUUCAGGAUUUUUACUUUGAGAAAAUUAGAGUGUUUCUAGCAAGCUAAUGUUUUGAAUACUGCAGCAUGGAAUAAUAAAAUAGAAUUUUAGUUCUACAUUGUUGGUUUUAAGAGCUAAAUUAAUGAUUGAUAGGGACAGUUGGGGGCAUUUGUAUUUAACUG